UACGAAGGGGGCUAGCGUUGUUCGGAAUUACUGGGCGUAAAGCGUGCGUAGGCGGGUUGCUAAGUCAGGUGUGAAAUCCCGGGGCUCAACCUCGGAACUGCAUUUGAUACUGGCGGCCUAGAGACCGGGAGAGGUGAGCGGAAUACCGAGUGUAGAGGUGAAAUUCGUAGAUAAUCGGUGGAACACCAGUGGCGAAGGCGGCUCACUGGACCGGUACUGACGCUGAGGCACGAAAGCGUGGGGAGCAAACAGG
rnacentral:rRNA from 1 species